ACUCCUACGGGAGGCAGCAGUGGGGAAUCUUGGACAAUGGGGGCAACCCUGAUCCAGCCAUGCCGCGUGAGUGAUGAAGGCCUUAGGGUCGUAAAGCUCUUUCGCCUGUGAUGAUAAUGACAGUAGCAGGUAAAGAAACCCCGGCUAACUCCGUGCCAGCAGCCGCGGUAAUACGGAGGGGGUUAGCGUUGUUCGGAAUUACUGGGGCGUAAAGCGCGCGUAGGCGGAUUAGUCAGUUAGAGGUGAAAUCCCAGGGCUCAACCCUGGAACUGCCUUUAAUACUGCUAGUCUUGAGUUCGAGAGAGGUGAGUGGAAUUCCGAGUGUAGAGGUGAAAUUCGUAGAUAUUCGGAGGAACACCAGUGGCGAAGGCGGCUCACUGGCUCGAUACUGACGCUGAGGUGCGAAAGUGUGGGGAGCAAACAGGAUUAGAUACCCUGGUAGGAUACCG
rnacentral:rRNA from 1 species